UCCUACGGGAGGCAGCAGUGGGGAAUUUUGGACAAUGGGCGAAAGCCUGAUCCAGCAAUGCCGCGUGCAGGAUGAAGGCCUUCGGGUUGUAAACUGCUUUUGUACGGAACGAAAAGCUUCGGGUUAAUACCCUGGAGCCAUGACGGUACCGUAAGAAUAAGCACCGGCUAACUACGUGCCAGCAGCCGCGGUAAUACGUAGGGUGCAAGCGUUAAUCGGAAUUACUGGGCGUAAAGCGUGCGCAGGCGGUUUUGUAAGACAGAGGUGAAAUCCCCGGGCUCAACCUGGGAACUGCCUUUGUGACUGCAAGGCUAGAGUACGGCAGAGGGGGAUGGAAUUCCGCGUGUAGCAGUGAAAUGCGUAGAUAUGCGGAGGAACACCGAUGGCGAAGGCAAUCCCCUGGGCCUGUACUGACACUCAUGCACGAAAGCGUGGGGAGCAAACAGGAUUAGAUACCCUGGUAGUCCACGCCCUAAACGAUGUCAACUGGUUGUUGGGUCUUAAUUGACUCAGUAACGAAGCUAACGCGUGAAGUUGACCGCCUGGGGAGUACGGCCGCAAGGUUGAAACUCAAA
rnacentral:rRNA from 1 species